GGAUGCAUGGGCGAGCCUGAUGCAGCCUGCCGCGUGUGUGAAGAAGGCCUUCGGGUUGUAAAGCACUUUCAGUAGGGAGGAAGGUGUUGUCGUUAAUAGCGGCAUCCUUUGACGUUACCUACGGAAGAAGCACCGGCUAUAUCCGUGCCAGCAGCCGCGGUAAUA
rnacentral:rRNA from 1 species